CAUGAGCACUCAGGAUUGCUGGUAUUAUGAUGGUAGCUGUACUGAACCUGGUGGAAAGGGCUAUGUUGGCAUUAAGAAGCUCCAGUACAUACAGUCAGUCAGUCAAAACAGCUGUGAAGACAUAUCUCAGUAACACCAUCUGAUUGUUCUCAUACUGGGGUGAACUGAUACAAAAGAAGAGGUGAAAAAUCACUGUUUAAACUUUCCAUACAAAAUAGGAUAUUUUAAUUAUUUAUUCUUUAUACUUCUUAUUGAUGUUAAGAGGAAACAACAGGUCAAGGAUGUUUAGGAGAAGAUUUUACUUUCUUAUGUUUGUGUUAGCUAAUGGAUGCCUAAGUUCUGCUGAAAGAACACAAAUCACUUUAGAAGAGAAAUCAGAAAGGGACUUCUCUUUUUAAUUUGUAAUCACUACUAGGUGACUCAAGUAAAUGGACGAGUCAUAUGUGGGACUUCAGCCUAGCAUAAGUUGCUGAAUGUCUUAGAGUUUCAACAGCAAUAAAACAUGCUUUUGUGACACAUUUCAUCCACAAUUUCAAAACUCAUAAGUUCACUAUUGGUAUGUGUAUUUUACUAAUAUCAUAAGAAAGGCACAGAAAGAUCAUAAAGAGUAGAGCCAGAAGUCAUCUUAUGGCCCAGAACAACUAAUCUUGAUUUAAUUAUGGUGGGAUUCUUAAAACAAUUAACCAGCUCGGAAUCUAAAUUUUGUGUUCUUGCUGCAAUGCCAUCAAUCCAAGGUAAAAGAAGGGGAAAAGAAAAUGCCUACAAUUCUUCUGCAUCCCUUUGAGCUUUCUGGGAAUGCUUUGCCUGUGGGAUUAAUCAGAAGUCUGUGAUUCUCAUGCUGUAGUGAGACAUUUUGGUGCCUAAAGUUGUAGAUCUUCAUUGUCCACAAUGUCUUUUGCAAAACAUGUUUUAACAGACCCAGAGAUCCUUUUUCAAAUAAGGGAAUAUGAGAGACUGAAGUGGAAAUAAGACUUAAGAUCUUCUGCAGAUGUCCAUUUGGAUGUCCCUUACUUACACUUGACAAAAGCAGAAAGUGUAAAAGUAGAACUAAAGACCAAAUCAGCAUAAAAAUUGUAACAUUUUUUGAAUCUCAAAACUUGUUCUCAUAGGUGAUCAGUAGAAGCUGCUACAAGUUCUCCCAAUACCCAUCAUAGUCUCAUUUAAAUGCUCUGAGUUAAUGUUAUAUCUCUUUAAUUUACUCUUUAAAUAUGCUGAGCAAGUAGCUCUAGAUUGCUCUUCACCCUUGAAAAAAGUGAAAUGAUAGAAUAGCAAAAAGGUAUGAAAGUGUGUUACUUGCUGUUGGGGGCUGAACACCUACAGCUGUCAGGAUCAACAAUGAUUAGCAUUCCCAUGGUACCAAGAGGCUUCCAAUCUGGAGUUCCCAUAUCUGCAGUCUUCCUUUUAGCCUCAUUUUAGUCUCACAUAUCUCAUUCAACAGAUGGUUUCUUGGCAGGAAACAUUACAUUCCUUAAAGCAACAUUAAUACAGCACUUAUGGGAGUGGCAUAAUUGUUCAAUUAUUUAAUUGUCUGUACAGAGCCAUAAAAUGCUGUUAUGCUUUGGGAAAGGGAAGCUUUUUUCCAAAACAGGAGUCAGCUAUACUAUUCAGGAAAAGCUACAAGGAUUUUUGACUCCUAUGCAAUUGGUAUAAAAAAUCAGAUUGGUAGCUCUAAUGGAGAGAAAUCUGUCUCUGGAUUCCAGAAAAAUGCCUAGGAGUCAAGUUGUCUGCCAGUGGGAUUGUUUGUGGUAAGGAGCUCUGAUGCCCUGCACAAUUAUUUUCAAGUACAAAUAAUAAAAGUAAAAUUCUUUGCUCCGUAUGUAGUUCCCCCAUCCCGUUUAAAGGUCAUUACGUGAACCAGCAUGGAAGGAGAGCUGAAGGAAUUUGUCAGCUUUUGGCAUAGUUUUGAAAGCAAUUGUGAACUUGCACAUCAGGGAGAUGAUGCCAUGCAGAUUAUGUGUCUGAGUCUCUUUGGACUGUCAGUCUCUCAAUUCCUCAAACAUUAGAUGCUUCCACAGUCCUAAGGUCCCUGGUAAGUGGCCUUGUUUAAAAGCAAGAAAUUACAGAAAUGUGUGGUAGAAGGGUUGCUGGGUAUCACAGAAAUAACAAAUCUCUUCUCAAAAGUUCCAAUUCCAAUUGGCUCUGGUAGUAACAGGCCUUCAUAAGGAAGUAACAGGGUGAGGGGAUACCUGGAAGGGUCACGGUGUAUAAAUUUCUGUCUUUAAUAUAACUCUCCCUGAGAACUUUGAAGCCUGAUUAUGACAAGCAUAAUCUACAGAAUAUUCCUUUGCCCUUCUGUGCUCUAACAUUUCAUACCUGCAGAACCUGGUGUGAUUUCUUGAGCCUGUUUUCCACUGUAUUGGUGCUUUUGAUGUAUGGCCUGUUUUCAUUUACAUUCAUAAAUUAUCAGUGCAAUUUAUACAUGUACAGACCUGAUUUAUGCAGCAGAAUCAUGUUUAUGGUCAUGUUUGUGCUAUCAUUCCCUAAAAGUUAACAGAAAGUGUUUGGCUGCUUUAUGAGGUCCCACAUAAAUGCUGAAACAAAGGCUGGCAAUGUGUGAGCACUGACAUUACUUAAAUAUAUAUAUAUAUGGCCAUUGUUAAAUUAACAACCUUUUUAUUUAUAGUAUUAUUAUAAGACUGAUAUGUUUAUAUCCAUACUGUCAAUGAUAACCUUCCUGCCUUUAUUUCAGGCUUAGUUGGUAAUGUUUAUAUUAGGCUUUUAUGUCAAUGCGUUUUCAAUGGCAUUAAUGUCACACACAAAGCAACCUUAGGCCUGCAAUAUCAUUCAUAAUGUUUUGAUACGGGUUUUGUAUCUGUCCCUUUACUGUUAACAUAAGUAUAAUUUACACCUGUUUUUCACUGGAAGGAUUUUUGAUGCUUCAGAACCUCAACAUCUGUCUCUGAAGACACAAAAGUUGCACUUGAUGAAAGCCUAGCUUUCAGAUUAAAAAAAACCAUCUUGUUAUCAGGCUCCUCCAGGUUGACAAAAAAUAGAAAUCCCCUUGCUCUCUUCAAACAGACAUGAGAGAGACAGUCCCUUUAUCAUUUAGCAUACCUCUAGUCCAACAAGGCAAUAGCUUAAGUAUGUGCUGUCCUCUGCUGAAAUAGGACUGGAAAUCAAUUAUUAUUAUUAUUGUUGGUAUUUCAAUUGAGUUUAAAAGAGACAGCUAGUCUUGUCUGAAUGACUGACUGUUUGAUUUGCUGUUCAAACUGAAGAAAGAAAAUUUCAAACAAAGGAAAAAAGAUUGAGUGCUUCUUUGAAACAGUAAAAAAAACCCAAACAACAAUAAAAUGCCAAGUCAAACUAAAGCAAAUAAAAAGAACCCCAGUGCUUUUUUCUUAAUUAAAUGACAAUGGUUCUUUUAUUUCAAAAUUAUUUGCAGAUUAGGACCUGAUUGUGCAAGAUGCUAUUUAAAGCUAUGCUACAACAUAACCUUAAUAAAUUUAGUCCAAGUAGAUGUAAACAGAUGCAGCAGAUUUUGAAGGUCCAAGGUUAUACAUUAGAUAUUUAGUUGGGAUGAAUAAAGAACAGAAGAGAAUUUAAUUAUCUAGUUGCCUUCACCACCUGUCUACACUCCAAGAUUAUAAAUUGUCCUAUAGUAAUGCAGGCUGAGGAAUCAAGCCUCCAACUCUAUGAGCUGGAUGUGGACUUGAAGUCUUAGAGUGAAGUAGAAAAAAACAAAAGGAUUUAAGGACAUGGAAAGGACCUGCACAUUAGCAAGAAUUCACACGGAAGCAUGACUAGGUGAUGAUGGUGAUUAGUCACUAUGCUGAGACUUACGGGUAUGGAAACCUCACUCAGGAGUCAUAGAGGAGACAGAGAGAUGAGAAAUAUAACACAGUGGGGUUCUGAUACUGUGGGUGCUGUAGAUAUAUAGUUGUGGGAAAGAAAACAGGGCCUGGAAGAACAGGUGGAGUGCCUCAGAGUACAUGGAGGAAGGACGGGUGACUUAUCAAGUGCCCUCGAACAUGAGAGGGUACCACAUGUGUGGGCUGUGAGGAGUGGGUGCAGAGAUAUAUCUGGGUCCCAGUGCUUGAACCACUAAUUUUAUGAUAUGUAUAUACCUGCAGGCUUGACCAGAGAAAAUGAUAAUUUGUAAUUAGAAAAAGAGAGGUAUUUAAGGAUGCCAGUGACUUUAUAAGAAAGACAAAUAAAAGUAAGGAGAUGCUCUAAGUCACUGUCAUAUUUACAUUGAAAUAUCUUUGAAUUAUUUUAACAAAAGUUAAUUUGUGUUUCUCCAACCUUUCUUUUAUUCCUUCUGUUGUCUAGUCAAAAAAAUCAUGUUUUAGUGUUGACCUCUAUCAUACUUCACAGGCUGAAUGUGAUGACUCUAGCUGAGACAUCAUUGUGCCUCACUGCAUGACUUUGCACUGAGGAGUGUCUCCAUAUGCCUAGCAUAUACAUUGAAGAAAUUUCUUUGCUGAAGACAGUGGGAAUUUUGCCAGUGAUGUCAAAGGUGACAGGAUUUCAGCUAAACCAUUUCAGUAAUGUAAUUUGGCAUAAGUCCACUAAAAUCUGUGGAGUUACUUGAAUGUACAUCAGCUAAGAAUCAAGCCAAUAAAAUACAUAUUACUCAGCAUAGUCAUGUAGAUGUUUAAGAAAGGUUAUGAAGAAAAGAAGCAGCAUAGGAUACCUGUAAUUUGGAUUCAAACUCAUGAAUGUAAGUCAUAAAGAAAUUUGGAUGCUUACAGAUUUGAACACAAUUUAAACUAAAAUGACACCAAGACUGUGCUGCGAUUUCACAGAGCUGUGCUCACCCUGAAGGCUUAGACUGAGACAGAAGGAAAAACCAAGGAAACAGGAUAUUUUAAAACUGCAUCCUGAUAAAGCUCUCUAUUUUCAGUUAUUAGAGAGCGAUAUUUAAAGAGUAAAUAGUAAUAAAGAGGGUAAAUAUGCCUGGUGCUUACAAUUAGGUGACUGUAUGGAGGCUAUUUUAGUAGUUUAUGGAAAACUAGACUACUUAGUUUUCAAUAUUUAGCAUGAGAUCCAAGGAUAUGGACAAGGUAAUAUCAGAUUCCAUUAGUGGCUGCUUGCAAAAUGCAGAGUGGUUGUUUCACACAGGAAAAGGCUGAUGAGAACAAAAGGAUUUCAGAUGAAGUGGAAAUACGGUUGCAAAACAGAUUUCUAUAAUGAAUUCUGAGGGGCGCAUCUGUUAUUAUCUACGUGAUAUAAAAUUGCUCUUUUUGUCUCAUUUCGCUCAGUUGCACAAGAUGCAAUCACAUCAAACAGGCAUGUUCAAUAAAACUGUGAUCUGACUGAUUAAAAUGAACAGCAAUCUGUUUUCUUCUGACAGUCACACAGCAACUUGAAUAACAAGGACUAUGAGCAUGGAAUUGAAUAGCCACUUGGAAUUGAUAUUAAUGUUCACAAGUGCUGUUAAGGCAUUUGACCAAAUCUGUCCAUCCAAUGAAAUAACAUCCCUCUAUCCUUAAAUCAUUUAAACCACAAGUAAUUUAUGAGGCAUAUUCGAUAACAUCCUGCUGCUCCUCUUCACUUCCAAAGCCUUCUACGGAGCCACUGCACUGCUUUUCUAUGCAGCAUAAAUACCAGCAAAGGAAGUGUUCCUGGAAGGAAGGCAUGGGCAUCUGUUAGCAAGACUGUGAGAAGUUUCCAUUUGCAGUAGCAGGAACAAGUUUUGCGUCGAAAAAGACAUCUUGAUGGAGUCAUUUCCCUAAUUCCAACAUCUAGCCUAGGUUUUCUGUUCACUCCCUGUGUAGCUGAGAGUGGAGAGAUAACCCUUCCCUUCCAGAGAAAAGUUAAUUCUGCUUGUUCAGACACAUAUUGGCAGUGGAGACUGAAAUGUGUUUUGAGAUGUCUCCUGAUGAAAAUGUUAAACCAGUGGAUUUUUGUCAUUUUCCUACAAAAUCCAUUGUAAGAGAUUAGUACUACUGAGAGGAUGCAUUCUUCUCUCUUGGAGCAGACAGCCUUAAGCUAAUUUAUCUUGAACAUGAUGAAGUCAAACAUAGCAAUCAAGGGGUCAUAUAAAUCUACCUGCUCUGUUGCUAAUGUGGCAUAGCUGAGAAUCUACUUGAUUCUAGUAUUCAAUCUCAUAAAGUCGUACACUUGGAUGCCUGUUUUGUUGUCUACUCCAGAUGUUGUUCCUUUAUUUUAAAGGUCUCAAACCCCCAAAGAAAUUUCAAAAGGGCUUCAGAAGACUUCUAGCAUGAACACAAAACUUCAAGGCUGUGAAAGUUGCUUGGCAAGUGUUUUCAAGAUCCAUGUAAAACUGUCAUGGCACAUUGAGUGACUUUUGGAGUUUCUUGCCUGCCAGAGCAAUUAGAUUACGAAUAAACCAAUUGUCAGAAAUGU